rnacentral:rRNA from 1 species
UACAGAGGUCCCAAGCGUUGUUCGGAUUCACUGGGCGUAAAGGGUGCGUAGGCGGUCGGGUAAGUCUGAUGUGAAAUCUCACAGCUUAACUGUGAAACUGCAUUGGAUACUAUCCGGCUCGAGGAAUGGAGGGGAGACUGGAUACUUGGUGUAGCAGUGAAAUGCGUAGAUAUCAAGUGGAACACCAGUGGCGAAGGCGAGUCUCUGGACAUUUCCUGACGCUGAGGCACGAAAGCCAGGGGAGCAAACGGG